rnacentral:rRNA from 1 species
UGUGCCUACGGGAGGCAGCAGUGAGGAAUAUUGGUCAAUGGGCGCAAGCCUGAACCAGCCAAGUCGCGUGAGGGAAGACGGCCCUACGGGUUGUAAACCUCUUUUGCCGGGGAGCAAGCCUGAGCACGUGUGCCCAGGCGGAGAGUGCUCGGAGAAAAAGCAUCGGCUAACUCCGUGCCAGCAGCCGCGGUAAUACGGAGGAUGCGAGCGUUAUCCGUAUUUAUUGGGUUUAAAGGGUGCGCAGGCGGGCUGUUAAGCCGGCGGUAAAAAUUCAGGGCUCAACCCUUUCGAUCC